GAACGUGCGAAACGUAAUGUGAAUUGCAGAAUUCAGUGAAUCAUCGAAUCUUUGAACGCAUCUUGCGCUCCUUGGUAUUCCGAGGAGCAUGCCUGUUUGAGUGUCGUGAAUACUCUCAAUUUCAAUCUUUUUUGUUUGAAAUUGGACUUGGAUGUUGCUGUGAAUGAUCACAGCUCAUCCUAAAUGCAUUAGCGAUCUGCCUUGAUCACACACAAUGUGAUAAAUAAAGCAUUGUUAUUAAUCAAGUCAAGACGGCUUCUAAUAGUCGAAAGACAAGCAUAUAUAUGUCAUUUGACCUCAAAUCAGGUAGGACUACCCGCUGAACUUAA
rnacentral:misc_RNA from 1 species